rnacentral:rRNA from 1 species
CCGUGAACUGCGAAUGGCUCAUUAAAUCAGUUAUCGUUUAUUUGAUAGUACCUUACUACUUGGAUAACCGUGGUAAUUCUAGAGCUAAUACAUGCUGAAAACCCCGACUUCGGAAGGGGUGUAUUUAUUAGAUAAAAAACCAAUGCCCUUCGGGGCUCCUUGGUGAUUCAUAAUAACUUCUCAGAUCGCAUGGCCUUGCGCCGGCGACGGUUCAUUCAAAUUUCUGCCCUAUCAACUUUCGAUGGUAAGGUAUUGGCUUACCAUGGUUUCAACGGGUAACGGGGAAUUAGGGUUCGAUUCCGGAGAGGGAGCCUGAGAAACGGCUACCACAUCCAAGGAAGGCAGCAGGCGCGCAAAUUACCCAAUCCCGACACGGGGAGGUAGUGACAAUAAAUACUGAUACAGGGCUCUUUUGGGUCUUGUAAUUGGAAUGAGUACAAUUUAAACCUCUUAACGAGGAACAAUUGGAGGGCAAGUCUGGUGCCAGCAGCCGCGGUAAUUCCAGCUCCAAUAGCGUAUAUUAAAGUUGUUGCAGUUAAAAAGCUCGUAGUUGAACCUUUGGCCUGGCUGGCAGGUCCGCCUCACCGCGUGCACUUGUCCGGCCGGGCCUUCUCUUCUGGAGAACCGCAUGCCCUUCACUGGGUGUGUUGGGGACCAGGACUUUUACUUUGAAAAAAUUAGAGUGUUCAAAGCAGGCCUUUGCUCGAAUACGUUAGCAUGGAAUAAUAGAAUAGGACGUGCGGUCCUAUUUUUGUUGGUUUCUAAGGACCGCCGUAAUGAUUAAUAGGGGACAGUCGGGGGCAUCAGUAUUCAAUUGUCAGAGGUGAAAUUCUUGGAUUUAUUGAAGACUAACUACUGCGAAAGCAUUUGCCAAGGAUGUUUUCAUUAAUCAGUGAACGAAAGUUAGGGGAUCGAAGACGAUCAGAUACCGUCGUAGUCUUAACCAUAAACUAUGCCGACUAGGGAUCGGGCGGUGUUAUUAUUUUGACUCGCUCGGCACCUUACGAGAAAUCAAAG